UCAUCCAGAAUAGACUUGGAGACAUGAGGCUGACGAAGAAUUAUUCAUUCUUUUUCAAGUCUUAGGACAGCAAAAAUGCAAGUCUUAAUUUUGCAGCCACUAGGACAUCCACGAGUGAACAAAGAUUUCCCACCAGCCCACCAGGAUGCCAGAGUGAUUCACAUGUCUGUGGAGCUGAGGGCAGGACCUCCUUCCUCUUUCUGCGGAGACCCAUCUCCUCCCCUUAUGUAGGAGGCGGAUGCAAGAUGGCGCCUUGGCACCCUGCCGGAGCACACGGCGAGGUACGGCCUGCCGGCCUCUAGUG